rnacentral:lncRNA from 1 species
UUUUCAUCUCGCUGACAAAAAAUUAAUUUUAGCUUCCUAUUAUGUCAUACAAACAAUAUUUCUGUUACCUCUUCCUCUCACGUUGCUGUCAGCCCAGGUUGAAUAUUGAUUCCCAGACCACACGGAAGAGGAAACCCACACGGCGAAGUUCAGAAGCGUCCUGUUAGCGUAAAUGGCCGUUAAACCAGAAAGCUCCUACAUGCCGGAGCCCGGAGCUCCACUUCGCAGGUUUUUACCCUCAAGUCGCGCUGAUUAUCCUGGGAUGACAGGUUUAAAAGGAGAAGAAGCCUCAUCUGUUGAUCUUCAUCUGUUGCUAAGUGCCUGAGAAUGUCAUCAAUAUCUUAGACUACAUUUGAAUACUCUGAUGAUGGACUUGCACAGAACUUUAUCUGAUCUGAAGAAGAGAAUUUUCCUAGCUGUGAACUGGCUUCCUAGGAUCGUGUCACUGUCAGAUUGUGCAUUUAUUCUGUAGAACAUUAUAAGUAAGUGAGAAAAAUGUCUUAAAAUAUUUAUCUAUGUGUGUGCGUCCGUGUUCUUUUUUGUUCUUUCUGAAGUCUAGCUGGCUGGUUCAACUCAGCUGUUCUGGCUCAAACUCCUCUCCCAGAUGACUUAUUCAAUCUGGCUUCUCGCAGCCUCUGAGUUGCUCUGCCUGGCCUCAUAUUGACUUUGGC